rnacentral:rRNA from 1 species
CGGAGGAUCCGAGCGUUAUCCGGAUUUAUUGGGUUUAAAGGGUGCGCAGGCGGGGGAUUAAGUCGGCGGUGAAAGUUUGCAGCUUAACUGUAAAAUUGCCGUUGAUACUGGUAUUCUUGAGUGUAUAUGAAGUAGGCGGAAUUUGUAGUGUAGCGGUGAAAUGCAUAGAUAUUACAAGGAACUCCGAUUGCGAAGGCAGCUUACUAAAUUACAACUGACGCUUAGGCACGAAGGCGUGGGUAUCAAACAGGAUUAGAUACCCCUGUAGUCCCUGA